UCUAACUGGGGCUAUGAUUAAGGAAGAAGUGUGGAGGUGAUAUAACUGUCUACUCGAUGAGGUGAUUAAGGGAAUUUGGUUGAAAACUAUCCAGAGGCAUUGGUGGCUGACAGGGAUCUGAAGAACGAAGAAACCAUGUACUUAUGAUUAUUACAAAUCAUGGUUAUUUUUUUCUGUUAUGAGAGCUUUGCAGGAAAGAGAAGAUCCAUUAUUUUGCUUCAAAGGUGACGAGAUUCUAGAUAUGUCAUCAAUAUACUAUGCAUUUUCUUGUUUUCAAUAUACAUGUUUAUGUUUUUGUGCUUAUGUACUUUCUGUUGUUAUAUCUGAUAUCACUAAUACAAACCUAAAGGAGCCCAGAGGUAAUGCUUAUUAUGGAUCUCAUUAAGGUAUUCACAAUCUCGUUAUAUUAUACAGGGAUGCCAUGCCUUCGGGAACUUUCACCAAAUUGGUGCAAUUGCACAUUUUCUAAAUUUACCAGAUGCAGAAGCUGUAGCAUUCGAGAUCUCUGGUUCAAGUGUUCUUGUGUCAUUUACAGGGUGAUAAAGGCUUGCUAUGCUGCUUCUUUGCUGUUGUGGUUGUCUCUAGGCAUGAAUACAACUACGACACAACAGCCACAAAAUCUAUUUUAUGCACUACAUGUUUUGAUUUUUAAAUAGAAAUGACUUGUUAUGGUGCCAUAUGAGUUGGGUUCAAGUGAUGAAUGUAAGAUGUUGCAGGUGGAUUGAAUGAAACUCGAUCGAUGAAUACAUCCCAUAUGAAGUUGAUGAAUACAUCCCAUAUGAAGUUGAUCUGUUUUACUUAGCAGACGACACUGAAUCUGCAAGAAAUGGAUAUUCUAUCAAUUUUAUUUAUGAAAAAGGCUAGUUUCCCCCACUGCUUCUGAAGAAUAUAGUAACAGGAUCAAAUACAGUGAAUUCUGUAUCUACAUCAUCAUUUUUGCAUUUUUCUUAUACCUCAUCAAUGCACAUCCUUUGCAUUCAGACUCAUCACAGAGAGGACACAUGCUCCACCGAUGGAAGCUGACCUCGCGGAUUCCAAGCUGCAAACUGACCAAAAUGAGAAAUACGAGGGAGUUAUCUCAGCUUGUCGAAGAUACACCUACCGGGAUGUAUCUGCAGGCUUAGGUGGAUGGAGGAUUUUUUGGUCGUGACGUUGUGGAGUUUCUGGUUAACGGCGACGAUAUUUCUUACAGAGCUAUGGCGACCAAGAUCACGUAUAUAUACCUCUUCACCACGGCCUUGGGGGACUCGAAAGGGCAGGAAGAGAGGCUGCAACAAAUAGUCAAUGAAUUAGGCUGGUAUGCACCAAGGUUUGAUUUGAUGGACUAGAAGUAUGUGAAGAUAGUGUUGCAAUCAUGCUUCGAAAUGUCUAGUGAUGAACAUUUUCACAGACAAUAUGGGAUAUGUAAUCAUAAACUGGAAUUUUGUUUUGUUUUAAGAAAAAACUCAUUGAUCAAAUGUGCAGGAAAGUUAAAGCAUCAUUGAUUUCUGUUUCUAUGUAAAGCAAUUUAGUUCGUAAGAUGUUUUUUCUCCAACUAAUAAGUUGGACGUUCAA